UACGGGGGGGGGCAAGCGUUGUUCGGAAUUACUGGGCGUAAAGGGCUCGUAGGCGGCCAACUAAGUCAGACGUGAAAUCCCCAGGCUCAACCUGGGAACUGCGUCUGAUACUGGAUGGCUUGAAUCCGGGAGAGGGAUGCAGAAUUCCAGGUGUAGCGGUGAAAUGCGUAGAUAUCUGGAGGAAUACCGGUGGCGAAGGCGGCAUCCUGGACCGGCAUUGACGCUGAGGAGCGAAAGCCAGGGGAGGCAAACGGG
rnacentral:rRNA from 1 species